UUGACGAUGGAGGCUAUUUCGUGCAGCAGACGGUAGUUUAGAAAUGGAGAGAGAAAAUCUGCAGUAUCUUUGCCAGUUGUCAGAUGGUGGAAACACAACAAAGGAACGGGCUUUUGAAACUUAUUUGGGGAAAGGUUGAUAAGAAGCCCAAAAUAUUCCAGGAUCUGACUUGGGCACUUGAUCCUCUACUUCAAGUAUUCUCGGCUCAAAAGUUAUUAAGGGCAUCAAGACGAUGACUUUUACGUGCUUUGAGUUUCGGUGCCAUGGAAAGACUCCCCCCUGGGGUAGGAGGUAGUGAAAACAUUGGUGGCCGGAUUUAAAAGAACAACAGCCUACAGUGUCUGUCAAGGUAUUCUGAGGCGAUUGAGAAGAUUUCAGCUUUAGGAGGGUCUCUACUAAAAUAAGAAGAAAACCCCGCGUCCUCGGUUUUGUUUCUGAAGUGCUGGUUCUCCAUGAUUUUCUUCUUUUACCCUUUUCUGUUUCAGCAUUCUGCUUUCCCUCAGUGGUACAAGUGAAUUGCUCUUAAUAUCCCUUUUGUUCCAGGCCAGAUUUGUAGCACUUGCGUUGAUAGCAAAUAUAAUGUAAAUUUCCAGUGAGUUUUGCAAGGAAAAAACUUCCACUUAGCUCCUUGGCGAAGGGUCCUUCAAAUUUAUUAGCUGGUCCUGAUAGUUUUAAAAAGGAAAUGUUUUGGAAGCUAACAGAGAACCCAAAUGUGUGUCGUUAAACUUGCUCUUUCUAUCUCAUUCUCAGCUGAAAUCAUGGCCUUACUCAUUUCUUGGUAAAGAAUUUUGAUGUAAGUAUUCUUUCUUAAAGACGUGGGUAUAAGGUAGUUUAGUACAUUUCAGAAACUAAAACUUGCCUCAUAAAUUUAUUUUGGGUGUGAUAGUUGUUGAUUGGUUAGGAAGACAUUAAGUUGUUCUACUAACAUCAUUUAUUUCGUAAAAAAUAGUUUUUCAUUCCUAGUUACAGGUGUGUCUGAGUUAAGCUCCUUGCGUGCCUUCAAGAGUUUGUGGCUUCGGUCUCCCUGAAUCUGGAGUCCAGUCAGAGCUCGAUGCCUGUCACCCUGGCCCUCUGACCGUGGUCUGCUCACUUGACCUCUUGAAUCUGCUUUUCCAUCAGGGAGGUGUCCUCACCUGUGAAAUGAGGAACAGCAGCGAGGGCUCCAUUCUCUCAGAGUCUGGCUGCGAAGAUGAGAUGAGGCGCUGGUGUGAAAGCCUGGUCCCCCGGUCGAUAACUACCUUUAUUCGUUGAGAACUUUGCAGUGAGAUCGGAGAACACUGGUGAGAGGGAAGUCCUCCUUGUUUUGCUUCUGUCCACACAACUAUGUUUUCUUUAUAAAAACUCUUGUCAACUUCAAUGAAAAAUAAAUUUUUCUAGUAUAA